CUUGGAGAUUAUGUGUUUGUGGAGAGUGUUCUCGGGGUGAGGGUGAAGUUUGACCUGGUCAACAGUGUCUAUGUGACAGUAACGUCUGAGCAUCUGGCAGCCACUAGGGGGCUUUGUGGAAUCUACAACAACAACCCAAACGAUGAUUUCACCACAAUGGGAGGAAUUGUGUCCCAGUACGCUGCUAGCUUUGGCAACUCAUGGAAAGUUCCUGACCAGCAGAAUGAAGGUUGCGGUGAUGCCGCAGAGCUUGGACACAGUUGUGAAGUAACGGGAGAUGCUGCCUUACGCCGGCAAGCAGAGUCCAAGUGUCAUCGACUACUAGAA